GGGAUCGUAGCUCAGCUUGGUUAGAGCGCCGCCCUGUCAAGGCGGAGGUCGCGGGUUCGAGCCCCGUCGGUCCCG
rnacentral:tRNA from 1 species